CUACGGGUCGCAGCAGUGGGGAAUAUUGCGCAAUGGGCGAAAGCCUGACGCAGCAACGCCGCGUGAGGGAUGAAGGCCUUCGGGUUGUAAACCUCUUUCAGCAGGGAAGAAGCGAAAGUGACGGUACCUGCAGAAGAAGCACCGGCUAACUACGUGCCAGCAGCCGCGGUAAUACGUAGGGUGCAAGCGUUGUCCGGAUUUAUUGGGCGUAAAGAGCUCGUAGGCGGUUAGUCACGUCGGAUGUGAAAAUCCAAGGCUUAACCUUGGACCUGCAUUCGAUACGGGCUGACUUGAGUGUUGUAGGGGAGACUGGAACUCCUGGUGUAGCGGUGAAAUGCGCAGAUAUCAGGAAGAACACCGAUGGCGAAGGCAGGUCUCUGGGCAACUACUGACGCUGAGGAGCGAAAGCGUGGGGAGCAAACAGGAUUAGAUACCCGGGUAGUC
rnacentral:rRNA from 1 species